rnacentral:rRNA from 1 species
AUGCCAGACUCCUACGGGAGGCAGCAGUGGGGGAUAUUGCACAAUGGGGGGAACCCUGAUGCAGCAACGCCGCGUGAACGAAGAAGGCUCUUGGGUCGUAAAGUUCUGUUCUGAGGGAAGAAGAAAGUGACGGUACCUCAGGAGAAAGCCCCGGCUAACUACGUGCCAGCAGCCGCGGUAAUACGUAGGGGGCAAGCGUUGUCCGGAAUUAUUGGGCGUAAAGAGUACGUAGGCGGUCUGUUAAGCGCAAGGUAAAAGGCAUGGGCUCAACCAAUGUGGGCCUUGCGAACUGUCAGACUUGAGUGCAGGAGAGGAAAGCGGAAUUCCUAGUGUAGCGGUGAAAUGCGUAGAUAUUAGGAGGAACACCAGUGGCGAGGGCGGCUUACUGGACAGUAACUGACGUUGAGGCUCGAAAGCGUGGGGAGCAAACAGGAUUAGAUACCCGAGUA